ACUCCCUCCUCCGUCGCCCUCCCUCCUCGGUCGCCCUUCCUCCAUCGCGGUACUCCCGUUCCGCCGCCGCCGCCCUACCAUCCCUCCAUCACUGCCUCCAUCGCCGACGGCUCUGCCUUCGUCGACCCCGCUGAGCUCGCCGGCUGCGCCGACUCCGCCGAGCCCGCCGCCGCCUCCUUCACCUCUUCCAUCGCCGAGUGUGCUGACUCCGACGCCGCCUUCAAGUCUCCAACCACGUGGACUCUGCCCCUCCACCGUGCCGCCGCUCGGUAGAUCCAUGCCGCCGCCCCGCCUCUGCUCCGGCCGCCGCCUCCGCCGCUGACUCCACCGGCGGGCCCGACGCUGCCUUCGCUCUCGGCGCCAUCGGGUGCCACGGCAGGGAGCGGACGCGGCCCCGCCUCAAGUCCCGACUCCGCUGCCGCAACCGACGUUGUUUCCGCUCCCGACUCCGCCGCCGCCUCCGUUCCCAACUCCACCGCCGGUAGCCGCGGAGGCGAGCGGACUCACUCCCGCCUUCGCUCCCAACUCCGCCGCCGCGGCGGACGCCGCCUCCGUUGCCGACGCCGCCAAAUCAGGGUUGGAGGCUGCGGAGCAAGAACCUUCCAAUGCUGCUGCUGCCCAAGCUGAGGGUGAUGACCAUGGUGAUGUUCAUUAGGAGGAUGUCGGUGCAGACGACGGUUACUCGCGGAUGACAGAGAAGCAGAAGAAGCUAUUCGAGCUUCGGCUGAAGAUGCUAGGAAGGCAAAUCAGCAAGUGAUGGUGGUGGAGAAGAAGAGGAUGGAGCCUCGCACCGAGAGUAGAGGUGUUUCGAAACAAAAAUGGCUUGAAGAUAGGAAAAAAGAAGAUUGGAAAGCUGGUUGACUCAUGGGCUAGACAUGACAGUCUUACAUGCUUGAUACGCAAGAGAUGGCCGAAGCAAAAUACAAGAAAUGGGAAAAUGAACCUGCAACAUAUGGUUGGGAUGAUCAGGUGAAGAGAAUAUUGAUACAUCACUUCCAACUUCAUGUAUCGACAACAGAUUUCUCCCAACGAUGAUAGGUUGGGAAAAAAUUCCAGCUGAGACUGGCAGGAUGGUCAUGGAAAUGAUGAUAUCAAUUUGGUAACUCCAGGCCAAUAUGCAGGACAGUUUCAGAUGUUGUGUAUAUUUUGGAAGCAAUUGUUGGACAUGACCCAGAAGACGCAGAGGCAACUUGUAUGGCUACACAAUAUAUCCCAGGUGUUUACACGAAAUUCUUGAACAUAGAUGGGCUAAGAGGCAAGAGGUUGGGAAUCCUCGGGAAAUAUUUCUUUCAGUUUGUACAUUUUAACCAUCGUUAUUUUUCUUUUCGUGUGUUUGUCUACUUGUCCAAUCCUGGGUUUGAUUUAGAUAGGAAUGUUCUCUCAAAGUUACAUCCUGUCAAAUAUCUUGUGUUUUAAUCUUUCAAGGAUUCAUUAUCAAGCUAACAGCGAACUAAUCUGUGACUAUAUAUUUCUGUAGUCAGACACUUAUUUUGUGUAGGGAUAAAAUGCGAUUGGUUGCGUUGAACUAUGAUUUUCGGGUUUCAUUUGUUAUUAC